rnacentral:rRNA from 1 species
AUAUCAGUAAGCAGAGGAAAAGAAAUUAACUAAGAUUGCCUCAGUAGCGGCGAGCGAAGUGGCAAUAGCUCAAACUUAAAAUCUGGGGUCUACGACCUCCGAAUUGUAAUCUAAAGAGUGUGACAAAAGUUUGGAUGGAGGAAUAAGUUCCUUGGAACAGGACACCAAAGAGGGUGACAGUCCCGUAUUUGUCCUCCUGAAAGGCGAAUGCCUAAGCUCAUAGAGUCGGGUUGUUUGGGAUUGCAGCCCUAAAUGGGAGAUAAACUUCUUCUAAGGCUAAAUAUGUAUGGGAGACCGAUAGCGCACAAGUA